rnacentral:rRNA from 1 species
UGCAGUCGGACGGGCUAACGCUCCGCGUUAGCCUCUUUAAGGGAAAAGUCCCUUAAAAUCCCUAAUUAUAAAAUAAGAAAAGGGCUUUUAGGGGCAAUGCUCCUAAAGAUGCCAACGCGGAGCGUUGGUCAGUGGCGAACGGGUGAGUAACACGUGGGUAACCUGCCCUCGAGUGGGGAAUAAGCCCCCGAAAGGGGGUCUAAUACCGCAUAACGUUUCAUAACGAUGGUUAUGAAACCAAAGCCCAAAAGGCGCUCGAGGAGGGGCCUGCGUCCUAUCAGCUUGUUGGUAGGGUAAUGGCCUACCAAGGCUAUGACGGGUAGCCGGCCUGAGAGGGUGUCCGGCCACACUGGGACUGAGACACGGCCCAGACUCCUACGGGAGGCAGCAGUGGGGAAUUUUGCGCAAUGGGGGAAACCCUGACGCAGCGACGCCGCGUGGAGGAUGAAGGCCUUCGGGUUGUAAACUCCUGUCAGAGGGGACGAAAUCCCGCAAGGGACUGACGGUACCCUCAGAGGAAGCCCCGGCUAACUACGUGCCAGCAGCCGCGGUAAUACGUAGGGGGCAAGCGUUACUCGGAAUUACUGGGCGUAAAGGGUGAGUAGGCGGCUGGGCAAGUCAAGGAUGAAAGCCCGAGGCUCAACUUCGGAAUUGUCCUUGAAACUGCUCAGCUUGAGGGUAGUUGAGGAGAGCGGAAUUCCCGGUGGAGCGGUGAAAUGCGUAGAUAUCGGGAGGAACACCUGAGGCGAAGGCGGCUCUCUAAGCUAUUCCUGACGCUGAAUCACGAAAGCUAGGGGAUCAAACGGGAUUAGAUACCCCGGUAGUCCUAGCCGUAAACGAUGGACACUAGAUAUUCCGGCGUUUUCGCUGGAGUGUCGUAGCUAACGCGUU